CAAUGUAAUUCCUCCUCUAUUCUAUAUGUCACCAGUUUCCUACCUGCCAGCCACCAUCCAGACUGCCUCCUUGGCCCCAACCAUCUCCUUGGAACUCACCCUGUUACCCCACUGCCCUGGCUGCCUCUAAGGAAGAAAGGGAAAGGGGAGAAGGAGGAGCAUCAAGCCUCGUCUUCCAGACAUUCCUGAGGAAAACUUGAGUGAGGAGUCUUCAUCAAGGAGUUCCACCCCUAGUCUAACACUCCUGGAAGAGGCUGAUUUGUGUCAAAAGCUCAUGAUGAAC